rnacentral:rRNA from 1 species
CGAAAGCCUGACGGAGCAAGACCGCGUGGGGGAGGAAGGCUCUAGGGUUGUAAACCCCUUUUCUUUGGGAAGAACAAAAUGACGGUACCAAAGGAAUCAGCCUCGGCUAACUCCGUGCCAGCAGCCGCGGUAAUACGGAGGAUGCAAGCGUUAUCCGGAAUUAUUGGGCGUAAAGCGUCCGCAGGCGGCUCAACAAGUCUGCUGUCAAAACCCAGGGCUCAACUCUGGUCAGGCAGUGGAAACUACAUAGCUAGAGUUCGGUAGGGGCAAAGGGAAUUCCCGGUGUAGCGGUGAAAUGCGUAGAGAUCGGGAAGAACAUCGGUGGCGAAAGCGCUUUGCUAGACCGAAACUGACACUCAGGGACGAAAGCUAGGGGAGCG